AUGCAGUGGGCGGUGAGCACACUGGAGCAGCAGGAUCCAGGAGGAGCCGACGGCGGCAGCGAGAAGAGCGCCGGCUUCCCGUGUCUCCAGGCGCUCCGCGAUUCCUCGGAGCUGACCGAAGCACAGAACAUUCUGAGCUCCGGCGAUGACACCAGCGGCGGUGGAGGAAUCAUCACUCCAGCCCCCGAUUCGGCUGUGCACCAAGGCAGUUGGUCCAUGUCGUCCCCGACCUCGGGCGGGCCGUUCGCGCCCCCUGGCAUUAGCAGCACCGGCACCGGCACCAGCAACGCCCUGUCCAUGAGCUGGAACUUCGGCGCUGUCUUGCCGCCGCAGCCGGUCAGCAGCGGUGGCGGGGGCACGCUGGCCGCCGGGGCGCCGCUUCGUUCCUGCGUGUCACAGCCGACAAGGAGGGCAUCCACAAAGAGCACGCCGUACGCGCAAGACCACAUCAUGGCGGAGCGGAAGCGCCGGGAGAAUAUCAACCAGAGCUUCAUCGAGCUCUCCGCUCUCAUUCCCGGCCUCAAGAAGAUGGACAAGGGGACGAUUCUUGCCGACGCCACCAUAUUCGUGAAGGAGCUCCAAGAGAGGGUCAAGUACCUGGAGGCUGCCGGCGGCAACCACAGGAGCGUUGAGACCGUGGUGCUCGUCAGGAAGCUGUGCCGCCCUGUCGCGCCAGACGUCGGCGAGAGCUCCGCACGGGUUCUUGCGGAGGUCGAGGAGCUCCACCUCCGCAUCGUCCACAACGAUGUGAUGCCGUUCACGGCGUCCACCGUGAUCAUAACCACCAUGGCAGAGGCAAGUUAUGAUGAGUAA
rnacentral:rRNA from 1 species